AACGAACGCUGGCGGCAGGCUUAACAUAUGCAAGUCGAGCGCCCCGCAAGGGGAGCGGCAGACGGGUGAGUAACGCGUGGGAACGUACCCUUUGUUACGGAAUAGCUCCGGGAAACUGGAAUUAAUACCGUAUGUGCCCUACGGGGGAAAGAUUUAUCGGCAAAGGAUCGGCCCGCGUUGGAUUAGCUAGUUGGUGGGGUAAUGGCCUACCAAGGCGACGAUCCAUAGCUGGUCUGAGAGGAUGAUCAGCCACAUUGGGACUGAGACACGGCCCAAACUCCUACGGGAGGCAACAGUGGGGAAUAUUGGACAAUGGGCGCAAGCCUGAUCCAGCCAUGCCGCGUGAGUGAUGAAGGCCUUAGGGUUGUAAAGCUCUUUCACCGGAGAAGAUAAUGACGGUAUCCGGAGAAGAAGCCCCGGCUAACUUCGUGCCAGCCGCCGCCGUAAUAC
rnacentral:rRNA from 1 species